GUUGAGAACCACUGUCCUAAAGGCACCAGAUUCUGUUUGAUCUUGGAAGCUCAGCAGGGUCAGCCCUGGUUAGUACUUUCGUGGGAGACCACCAGGGAAUAUCAGGCACUGUAGGCU
rnacentral:rRNA from 1 species